rnacentral:rRNA from 1 species
CCUACGGGAGGCAGCAGUGAGGAAUAUUGGUCAAUGGGCGUAAGCCUGAACCAGCCAAGUCGCGUGAGGGAUGAAGGUUCUAUGGAUCGUAAACCUCUUUUAUAAGGGAAUAAAGUGUGGGACGUGUCCUGUUUUGUAUGUACCUUAUGAAUAAAGAUCGGCUAACUCCGGGCCAGCAGCCGCGGGAAUACGGGGGGUCGGGGCGUUUACCGGAUUUAUUGGGGUUAAAGGGUGCGUAGGCGGGCUUUUAAGGGACGUGUGAAAGUUGGGGGCUCAACCAUAGAAUUGCCGUUGAAACUGGGAGGCUUGAGUAUAUGUGAGGCAGGCGGAAUGCGUGGUGUAGCGGUGAAAUGCUUAGAUAGCACGCAGAACCCCGAUUGCGAAGGCAGCCUGC